UCCCCGGUAGCUCAGCGGUAGAGCGCCCGCCUGUUAAGCGGUAGGUCGAUGGUUCGAAUCCAUCCCGGGGAGCCA
rnacentral:tRNA from 1 species